CCUAGCUGCCCCCGACACUGCUCGCCGCCGCCUAAUAUGGCUUAUCAUCGAGGAGUUUUGAACAAGAAGCACCACCCUCCAUCACUGAGCGACGAAGUGUGGCGUUUAAAGAAAGUAGCCAAAGACGGUGCUCUACAUAAGCGCAUGAUUUCAAGAGGAAUCAACACUAUUCAAGAUUUCCUCCAGUUGUACGAAGCUAAUGCAUCCUCUCUGAGAAAUGUAGCAACCAUUUCUCUUCUAGCCGUGUUAAUUUCUCAUUUUCUGUACACGUUAUUCUAAGCAUUGUUGACCAUCAAAUCCACUACUUCUUGUGUGAUGCAAUGUUAUUUAAGAUAUUUGGCGA